rnacentral:rRNA from 1 species
GUGCACGCUGGCGGUAGGCCUAACACAUGCAAGUCGAACGGCAGCACAGUAAGAGCUUGCUCUUACGGGUGGCGAGUGGCGGACGGGUGAGGAAUACAUCGGAAUCUACUUUUUCGUGGGGGAUAACGUAGGGAAACUUACGCUAAUACCGCAUACGACCUACGGGUGAAAGCAGGGGAUCUUCGGACCUUGCGCGAUUGAAUGAGCCGAUGUCGGAUUAGCUAGUUGGCGGGGUAAAGGCCCACCAAGGCGACGAUCCGUAGCUGGUCUGAGAGGAUGAUCAGCCACACUGGAACUGAGACACGGUCCAGACUCCUACGGGAGGCAGCAGUGGGGAAUAUUGGACAAUGGGCGCAAGCCUGAUCCAGCCAUACCGCGUGGGUGAAGAAGGCCUUCAGGUUGUAAAGCCCUUUUGUUGGGAAAGAAAAGCAGCAGGUUAAUACCCCGCUGUUCUGACGGUACCCAAAGAAUAAGCACCGGCUAACUUCGUG